UACGAAGGGGGCUAGCGUUGCUCGGAAUCACUGGGCGUAAAGCGCACGUAGGCGGUUUCUUAAGUCAGGGGUGAAAUCCUGGAGCUCAACUCCAGAACUGCCUUUGAUACUGGGAGACUUGGAGUCCGGGAGAGGUGAGUGGAACUGCGAGUGUAGAGGUGAAAUUCGUAGAUAUUCGCAAGAACACCAGUGGCGAAGGCGGCUCACUGGCCCGGUACUGACGCUGAGGUGCGAAAGCGUGGGGAGCAAACAGGG
rnacentral:rRNA from 1 species